rnacentral:other from 1 species
UAUGCUCUGCGGAGUACGAUAGGGGUACCGUGUUAUUCUGGGCUAUAACUGGGUAAAAGGGAGCUUAACAUCUGAUUACCUCUAGUAGCCAAAACUGGCUCAAGGAGGUAUCAGUGAAAGCACCCACGUUUUUAUUUGAACCCAGAAACCGAUGGUAUCCCGUCGGCUCUCGCGGAGUUUUU